UUUUAUUUAAACCCAAUUUUAGCGCUUAUGGAUUCAAUAUUUUACAUGACAUUUAUAGCUGGUGCAAAAUGUGGUAUUUUGUAUUGCAUUCAGAGUUGAAUGUAGAAAGCAGUAAUUUGCUUGUCAUUCAAAGUUGGGUGCAAAACCUAGAGAUGGAUUUUCUCCACCAUCCAGAGUGGGUAUAAUUAGGACAACUAUCACUUUCAGGGUAUUGAAUUUUACCCUCAGCUUUGUGUGUCUUGAAUUUUACAACUUUCAGGUUAUUGAAUUUUACCCUCCGCCUAUUUGGAAAUCGCCUUUUCAAGUUGCCUUUCGUUUCCUUCUGGAUGAGACUGGUAAUGGGAAGUACCCGACAUAGAAAAGGCCACAAUGUCUGCAUUUUUUCGUGCUGUUAGCGUUAUGGUGGUGCUGCAAAGAAACUCCCAGUGAUUUGAGCCCCGCUCCAAGGAAGAAAGUUGCAGAUCUACAGCAGUCGUCCUUGCGUGAUUUUUCGCAAGCGAUUUUUAGGAAUGUUGGAGGAGUUUGUCAUAUGAAUUAUACACAUGAACAGUGUGGCUUUCUUGAGGCCUAGAGCUCUUGAAAGGAAGCCCUCACAAACUGGGAAGUGAAUUUAUGCACAGGAGUCUUCACUGUGAGGAACUUGCAAAGAAUUUCUCAAAGAAUUUCUAAAGAAAUAGAAGAAGGUGUCAGAAAUCCAGAUGAUUGGAAAUGUUGAGAUGGAUUGCUAUUUGAAAGAUUUUGAAGGACCAAUGUUGGAAGAUUCUGUAGCUUACUACUCUUGAAAGGCCGAUUCUACUCUGAGCAUCAGAAGUAUGAGCAUUAUGUCUUGGAGUGUUUUAAAAAACAUGACCUUUUUCAAAAGGUCUUUAAUAUAUUUGGUUUAGUUUGUUCUUUUUAGUGUUGCAGACUAUGAAAAAAGAAAGUUGUGAUUUUUAUAGGCUCUAAAAGAAGCAUUUAAUACCUUUACAAGAAAGGACCUACAACAAACUCGACUGCAGAAUUUCUCCAUGCAUUUUCUGAUAAUGUACUAAAGAAGAGCAGUAUUGAGAAAUUAAGUGAUGGUCAUGAGAUUGAUCUUGCUCUUGAAAAUGUAGGUUCACCAUAAUUUGCAUAUGCUCGCUUUGAUGAACAUCAAUUUUAUGAUCUAUUUUUACCAAGAACGAAUGAUACAAUUGUAAGUGGAGACGGGAAACAUUUCCCCGCCUUCAUAGUCAUAUUGUGCCAAUAGUAACAUUGGAACUCAUUGUUAUUAA